rnacentral:rRNA from 1 species
UACGGAGGGUGCAAGCGUUAUCCGGAUUCACUGGGUUUAAAGGGUGCGUAGGAGGGUUGGUAAGUCAGUGGUGAAAUCUCCGGGCUUAACCCGGAAACUGCCGUUGAUACUAUCUGUCUUGAAUAUCGUGGAGGUAAGCGGAAUAUGUCAUGUAGCGGUGAAAUGCUUAGAUAUGACAUAGAACACCCAUUGCGAAGGCAGCUUACUACACGAUCAUUGACGCUGAGGCACGAAAGCGUGGGGAGCAAACAGG